AGACUUUGCCUACUCCUCAGGAUCUGUCUUCUCAACCUCAGGGUUAGACUCAGACUCUUUGUGUUUCUUCACAGAUGAAGAGUCUGUGGCUCCAGGAUGCGGUGGCCAGAUCUCUUCAGAGCGAGGAUCUCAGGAGAGGGCUAAAUGGCAAGAGCACUUGCUGCUCUUGUAGAAAACCCAGCUUUGAUGCACAGCACUCAAGUCGCUCACAGCCCUCUGUAACUCGCUCCACAGGACCCAGUGCCCUCUGCUGGCCUCCACAGGCAAUGCACAUUUAGUGCAUUUAGGUAGAUGGUGUCAAAACUUAAUAAAAACAAAGAAGGAAACAGA